rnacentral:tRNA from 1 species
GAGGGUAGAGCUCUGUGGUAGAGCACAUGCUUAGCGUGCACAAAGUCCUGGGUUCAAUCCUCAGUACUUCCA